AAACAUCUCUGGAUUAACUAUCUAAUAUUAGCUACAUUUUUUUAGUUAAUACAUUGGCUAAAAUUGUUUCAGUUCGCAGAAUUGCCAAAUGUCUUGGGCAAGUUUUACAUAGAAAAUGUCUUUAUCUAGCUAGCUCAUGGUUAGCUAGUUAGCAACAUUACCCUGGCUAGAUGGCUACAUUAGCCGUCUAUUUGUCUAGCCAUUAAAUGCAUGUGAAAUUCAGAAAAACAAGUUUAGCUUUCUUUUGGCUUCUCUAAAUCAACAAUAGCUCACUAGUCAGCAGUUUAGCUCGCUAAUUAACUAACAAGCUAGCUUAGAUGGUGAAGCUCUAGCGCUAGGAGUUCUUGAUCAUGUUUGUUUGCGUCUGUGGGUAGCCUACUUCAAAGUACUACUGUAAUUGUAGCUAAACUAGCUAGCUGUAUUAUUUGUCUGGCAUUCUGAGAGGCUUCAUAAAUGGACUGAUUUAGCAUUCUCUCGAGUCAGUGUGCUUACUGUACUGUGGGAAAACAUUGUGUGCUGUUACCCUCUGGACAGCAGAUCAUUAGUAUAGGUAGUAGGCAAGGUUAUGUAACCUUAUUUUGUGCUAUCGGCUAUGGUGGGUUUCAAGUUGAUUGAUAUUCACACAUUUGUUUUUUGAGGUAGAAUUACUGUAAUGUUAAUGAUUCCAAAUUGCUAACCUUAUUUGCACCUUGUCUAUUCCAGAACCAAUUGGUGUGCCUGAGUCUUCUCAACUAGACAUAAGACAACCAUGAUUUGAAUGCUGAAACUGAGACGUAAUGAUGUCGAAGGACAUAUGCAGAGACCACGAGUAUGAUUGGACAUGGUCUGGAUAUUUGUGACCACUACCUACUAGGGGUGCAGAAGCACACCAGCACCCCAUUUUAUUUUUAUUCCAUGGCCAACAAGCUCUCACGCUACCCUUUACUGUCUUUCAACUUCAGACACUUUGGAACUCUCUACCCUACCUUCACACAUUUCCCCUAUGCUGCUUCCUUCACUUGUUCUUCUCCUGAUUUGAUAACAUCUAGACUCAGUAACACAUUUAAAAGUGUUGUGGUGUACUGUUUUUGCUAUUGACAAGCAACAUUGACAAGAAGGGUGUUGUUAUUGCUGCUAACUUGUUUUGAGUCUUAAGUGCGUUUCUCAUUUUAUAUUUUUACAUUUGAGUAAUUUAGCAGACAAUCUUACCCAGAGCGACUUACAGUAGUGAGUGCAUACAUUUUCAUACUUUUAUUUUUGUUGUUGCUGGAGUUGGUUAGUAAUUUAUAUAAAACCUACCUUACGCAUCAAGUUUUUCCAUUUGUAACCCACCCACCAAAAUCACAAUAUGCUGUUUUACAUGUAUUAUUUGUGCUGGCCUAAUUCCUAAAAAUGGGAAACAUAGAAGAAUCUGUUCGCUCUCAGAUAGUAAUAAAAGUUCAUAUGGUG